rnacentral:rRNA from 1 species
AGAAACUAACAAGGAUUCCCCUAGUAACUGCGAGUGAAGCGGGAAAAGCUCAAAUUUAAAAUCUGGCGGUCCUUGUGGCUGUCCGAGUUGUAAUCUAGAGAAGUGUUAUCCGCGCUGGACCGUGUACAAGUCUCCUGGAAUGGAGCGUCAUAGAGGGUGAGAAUCCCGUCUUUGACACGGACUGCCAGGGCUUAUGUGAUGCGCUCUCAAAGAGUCGAGUUGUUUGGGAAUGCAGCUCAAAAUGGGUGGUAAAUUCCAUCUAAAGCUAAAUAUUGGCGAGAGACCGAUAGCGAACAAGUACCGUGAGGGAAAGAUGAAAAGAACUUUGGAAAGAGAGUUAAACAGUACGUGAAAUUGUUGAAAGGGAAACGCUUGAAGUCAGUCGCGUUGGCCAGGGAUCAACCUUGCUUUUGCAGGGCGUACUUUCUGGUCGACGGGUCAGCAUCAAUUUUGACCGUUGGAUAAAGGUUAGGGGAAUGUGGCAUCCUCGGAUGUGUUAUAGCCCUUGGUCGCAUACAACGGUUGGGAUUGAGGAACUCAGCACGCCGCAAGGCCGGGUUUUUAACCACGUACGUGCUUAGGAUGCUGGCAUAAUGGCUUUAAUCGACCCGUCUUGAAACACGGACCAAGGAGUCUAACAUGCCUGCGAGUGUUUGGGUGAGUACACCCGAGACGCGUAAUGAAAGUGAGAGUUGAGAUCCCUGUCGUGGGGAGCAUCGACGCCCUAGUACCAGACCUUUUGUGACGGUUCUGCGGUAGAGCAUGUAUGUUGGGACCCGAUAAUGAUGGUGAACAUAUGCGCUGAAUAGGGUGAAGCCAGAGGAAACUCUGGUGGAGGCUCGUAGCGAUUCUAGAUCGUGCAAAUGCGAUCGUCGAAUUUGGGUAUAGGGGCGAGAUAGACUAAUCGAACCAUAUAGUAGAUGGUUCCUGCCGAAGUUUCCCUCAGAGAUAGCAGAAAGCUCAUUAUCAGAUUUAUGUGGUAAAGCAGAAUGAUUAGAGGCCUUGGGGUUGAAACAACCUUAACCUAUUCUCAAACUUUAAAUAUGUAAGAACGAGCCGUACUCUUGAUUGGACCGCUCGGCGAGUUGAGAG